GCCAAUUAAUCCAUUAAUCAAAACAAGGAGCAAAAGUGGUGGAAGCCGAGGAAAAAAUAAAAACCUGGCUGAAGUAUAGUGGAGACCGAAAUGGAGGAAGAAAAAAAAGAGCAACAGAAAAAGAAAAGCAGAAGCCUCAAGCAGAUUCCAGCAGCUGUGAAAGUGAAUGAGUAUGCUGCUACUUCUCCUCCGCUCCGUCUUCAUCAUCAGAGCCACACACAAUCUCUAAUUUGCUUCAAAAAACUCUGCAGAAUAUGGAAGAGAAUCUGCACAUUUUCUCAUUAAACUGCAAUAAGUUAAUUUUGUUACCAAUAAAUUCAUUUUUAUAACCAA